UGCUGCACAUUCGUUGAAUUCUGAAUUUUGCACACAUAAGUUGAAAGCAAUUUGUUUGUGGAUAGUAGGCACAAGAACAACACAAACACAAAAGCGCCUCAGUGCACUGUCACUGAUGGCCAUUGAAUCUCAGCUGGUCAUGGACUUGGAUUUUGAUGACAUUGUAACUGAGUUUGCUAACAGGAAAGCCAGGAAGAAGUCUUUUUAAGGGCAGCCGGAAAGAGGAGAGGAGGAGAGACAGACAAAAAAGUGUGGAGAGGAGGAGAAAGACAGACAGACAGACAGACCCUGAGGAGAGGAGGAGAGGAUGAGACAGACAGCCCCUGAGGAGAGGAGGAGAAAGACAGACAGACAGACAGACAGACCCUGAGGAGAGGAGGAGAGGAUGAGACAGACAGACCCUGAGGAGAGGAGGAGAAAGACAGACAGACAGACAGACAGACCCUGAGGAGAGGAGGAGAGGAUGAGACAGACAGCCCCUGAGGAGAGGAGAAAGACAGACAGACAGACAGACAGCCCCUGAGGAGAGGAGGAGAGGAUGAGACAGACAGACAGACCCUGAGGAGAGGAGGAGAGGAUGAGACAGACAGCCCCUGAGGAGAGGAGGAGAAAGACAGACCCUGAGACUGAGGAGAGGAGGAGAAAGACAGACAGAUAGACAGACAGCCCCUGAGGAGAGGAGGAGAGCAUGAGACAGACAGACAGACCCUGAGGAGAGGAGGAGGAAGAGGAGAGGGGGAGAGAGACAAAGAGCGGCAGCCCCUGUAGAGCCGAGGAGUAGAGGACAGGAGAGGAAGAGAGAGACAGACAGGAAAGCUACAUUAAUGGGAGUUGGUAAAGCCUACAGCAGUUCUGUCCAUGUGGUAACUAAUGGGCAAAGAGGUGUAAUUUAUUUGUGGGUGUUGUAUUGUUUUUAUUUAUUAUUGUAUAAAAUAUACAAUCUUGAAUCUGCCCCAGAGUCAUCCAUGUGUCUUGCCUGUCUCCAAACUUUGAAAUCUCUGGUUGAGAUUACAUGUCUGUUUGACUGCAAAAAUCAAAGCAUAUGAUUCCAUCUUUCUGUUAUCUGAUAAUGAUCUAAUUAAGCAAAUUAGUUACAUAAAUUGCUCAACAUGCAGCUCUUAGCAACCAAAUUACAUUGCGAGACAGAUAGUAGUAUUUGGGUGGAAUAAACAUUUAAAACUAUAAGUCGUUAGUAUUUGGUGGCAAUACUGCCUUGGAUGCACUUUUUUGGUCAUCCGGUUCAAUAGGUGGUGCUGUCACAAAAAAACUAGGGUCCAAGAAAGGCAGUCCUAAACCUUGGUCCUGAAACUGCAGCCUCCGCUUUUUUUUUUUUUUUUUGUUAAUUUUUUUUUAAAUGCUAAAAUAUUAAUUGUAUUAUCAAGGGUGGGUUUUCCAGUAUCUUAAUCCUUAAUCCAUCCUUGUAUAUAAAUAAUAUAUUUAGGCAUUGUUCAAUCAAAAGGGCUGUUUGCUUUUUUAAAAACACACCAAAGUUAUUUGAAGGAAAAACUUCUGUAUAGCAUUGAAUCAUGAAUGACCAACCUCAAUUAGCAAAUUUCCAGUGAGCAGACUCACUGUAAUAUUCGCAGUCAAACAAAACACCAAUUAAAGUAAACAUGUCUAAUAGAAUAGCUGUCUUGGUUUGAAUGCCAAGUCUGCGAGUCUAGACUAGUUUAUACAUAUGCACAACAUCCCUUGUGUUUCAGUGUUCCUGUGACCAAGCAAAUAGAUUUACUGUAAAAGACCACGUAGAUAUGAUCAUUUAUUCUUAGUCAUAAAGAAUGUGGAUUACUCCUAAAGACAAGAGAUUUCAAUAGAUGUUUGAUUCACGAGAGCGUUUGUUUAGAGUAAACCACAAAGA